CUCUUGGUGGACAGCAGCAGUCUCUACCAUACUUGUGUGGCAUGUAGAGUUUAGAAAUUAUGACCUCAGAGUUAGGAAUCCAAGAAAGAACCAGGGAUUCUGCAUUGAUGGAGUUCACAAGAAAGAAGAGACAGAAAACCAGGCAGAUUCAUUAUGGACAGAAGAAUCACAGUAACUCCUACUCUGUCUUUUCCCAGGUGGAGGCAGGGCCAGGCCCAUAUACCUGUGUGGAGAAACUAAUCCCAAUCACAGCAGAAUGAAACAACUUCUGGAACCCAUGGGCAGGGGAAUGACUCAGUCAGUCAGCGAUCGUGUGUGCCAUACAUCUGAGUGACUCAAGCCAAAGCAGAAAAUGAAUUAAGAAGCCAUUCCAGUUAUGGGACAAAAUGUAGAAGAGUAGCCUGAGAUGGAAACCCAAAAAAGGAAAAAAAAGUUCCUCAGAUGUAAAAGCAUCAGAACCAGAGGCAAGGAGGUGGUGAGCAGAAGAACUUGACAGAGAGGGGGAAAGUGGAUGAGGAGAAAUUGCACCACUGGAGUAGUGCCAAGGAACUGGGGCUCCUCCAAGCUCUGACUGUAGGCUUUGUGAGUAACAGCCCCACUUUUUGUGCAUUUACCAUUAUUCCAGGCUCUGUCCUAGGAGAUAUGCAGGUCUCUCUGAAACCUCACAACAUCCUCUGAGGUAGUUCUCUCUCUUUUAUAGAUCUGGAAACAAAGACUCUACAAGAUUAAGUAAUAACAGCUAGUAAGUGGUAGAUUCGGGAUUCAGAUUCCUAUCUCUCAAGUUUGACUCUUUUCACCCACCCAGUCUGCCUUCCUAUUCCUCUUCUCUGAAGAUGAAGCCUAAAGGCGAAGGCACUGAGGGAAACCACGAAUAGUGGCUAGAAUAGGGCUAGAAAGAAGUAGAACAUAGAGAGGAAGAGGGAGUACGGUGCAAGGGCUCACACUCUAGCUUCGGGACUAGACAGAUCUGCACUCAGACCUGUGUUUCUCUACUUAGGAGAUAUGUGGUCCAGGACAAAUCACACAAUCUGACCCCAAUUUCCAUGUGUGCAUAAGGAUAUUAACAGCUACCUUCCAGUGUUACUAAGAAUAUAGAUAUAUUUUUAUUUUAGAACUAGGGGGUUUUUUUUUAGUACAUUUGUUAGCAAAUAGAUAUUCAACAAUAAAGGUGAUAGUGGGUGAUGAUACGGUGGAGAAAAUCCUGAGACCGUAGUAGUCAAGGAGCCAGAAAGAGAACAUUUAACAGCUUUCAGUAGGUUUCAAGCCCCAGGUUUGAAUAAAACCUAUACCCAAUACAAAGAGAAUCUGCCACUGUCCGUUGCCAACCAGGAAUGUGAAACUGGGGAGGUAUGUGAAAAGCAACUGAGCAACUUUUGAUCCUAUUUUCAAAAACAGAAUAAUAUAUAUAUAUACUCCAGAAACCCUAGACUUUCAAGCUUAUGGUUGAACCUAUAUGUAUACAACCUUUGGGCACCGCAACAGAGCAUUCCUUUUUAAUUCAGAGACAAAAUAAACAAGGCUACCUCCCCUGAGGGUUAUCCAACAAAAAUCAACACUUAAUGCUGGAGUUGAGACCAGAGUAUUCAAAGACACCUUGAAGAGACCAAGUGAUGCAAAGGUUCCAGUAGAUUUCACUGAAACUAAUGAAAGGUAUUUAUAGCACUAAAGGAAAGACACAAAGAGGAGGCUGACAGGAAAUAAGACAAAUGCGGGAAGGGAUGAAUGAAUGUCAAAUUGUCAGGAGCAGAGCAGACAGUAAUUCUUUACUAAGAAGAGUAUGCUCUAGUCCAAGUACCUGAACUAAAAGCUCCUUGAAGACAGGAACUAUUCUUUCUCACCUUUGCAUCUUCAGGAACUAACACAGUGCCUGGCACAAAGUAGCAACUUAAUAUGUCAAAGCCCCACUGUAUGCUUUCUGGGAAGCCAGGACUAUCAUGAUUGCCUUCACAAAGGAUGUGCUGUUCCCUGUACUCUGCCUUACAUGUCAAUCAAAAAUAUUCCCUGGUUCUCUGUGACUCUUAGUCCAAAGCCCUAAGUCCUGUUAGUGUGGUAUUUCAGCCCCAUUCCAUUUUCCCUUUCCAGGGUAGGUUCCCAUUCCUUCUCCUAAGUCAAUUCUCUCUUCCUGCCAAAAUGAUCUAUCCAAGCCUAAAACCAAGCCACCUUACAUUCUCUCAACACUUUUUCCCUACAUGAUUUGUCUCAACCAUAAAUGCUCUCUGUUUUUCUGUACCUUUUAAGGUCCCGUCUCUAGAAAUGUCCCCUGGACACCUCAGGAGAAUUUUCACUCUCCCACUUUCAAACUCUUUGAGCUCUUGUUUCUCUACCACUCAUUCAGCAUUCACCAAAUACCAUCUUGUGUUGACAUUUGUGUUUUUUCAAAUGACUGUCUUACCUCCCCUGAUGAACUACAAACAUCACGUCUUAUUCAUCACUGCAUCCUGCCUUGGGCCUUGCACAGAGUUAGCACUUAAUAAAUGUUUGU